rnacentral:rRNA from 1 species
GAGUUUGAUCAUGGCUCAGAUUGAACGCUGGCGGCAUGCCUUGCACAUGCAAGUCGAACGGCAGCACGGGAGCUUGCUCCUGGUGGCGAGUGGCGAACGGGUGAGUAAUGCAUCGGAACGUAUCCUGGAGUGGGGGAUAACGUAGCGAAAGUUACGCUAAUACCGCAUAUUCUGUGAGCAGGAAAGCGGGGGACCUUCGGGCCUCGCGCUCUUGGAGCGGCCGAUGUCGGAUUAGCUAGUUGGUGAGGUAAAGGCUCACCAAGGCGACGAUCCGUAGCAGGUCUGAGAGGAUGAUCUGCCACACUGGAACUGAGACACGGUCCAGACUCCUACGGGAGGCAGCAGUGGGGAAUUUUGGACAAUGGGGGCAACCCCGAUCCAGCCAUGCCGCGUGAGUGAAGAAGGCCUCGG